CGAUGAAGGGGUGCUUGCAUCUUGGAUUAGUGGCGAACGGGUGAGUAACACGUGAGUAACCUGCCCUUGACUCUGGGAUAAGCGUUGGAAACGACGUCUAAUACCGGAUAUGACGACCGAGCGCCUGUUCUGGUUGUGGAAAGAUUUUUUGGUCAAGGAUGGACUCGCGGCCUAUCAGGUUGUUGGUGAGGUAAUGGCUCACCAAGCCUACGACGGGUAGCCGGCCUGAGAGGGUGACCGGCCACACUGGGACUGAGACACGGCCCAGACUCCUACGGGAGGCAGCAGUGGGGAAUAUUGCACAAUGGGCGAAAGCCUGAUGCAGCAACGCCGCGUGAGGGAUGACGGCCUUCGGGUUGUAAACCUCUUUUAGUAAGGAAGAAGAACUUCGGUUUGACGGUACUUGCAGAAAAAGCACCGGCUAACUACGUGCCAGCAGCCGCGGUAAUACGUAGGGUGCAAGCGUUGUCCGGAAUUAUUGGGCGUAAAGAGCUCGUAGGCGGUUUGUCGCGUCUGCUGUGAAAUCUGGAGGCUCAACCUCCAGCCUGCAGUGGGUACGGGCAGACUAGAGUGCGGUAGGGGAGAUUGGAAUUCCUGGUGUAGCGGUGGAAUGCGCAGAUAUCAGGAGGAACACCGAUGGCGAAGGCAGAUCUCUGGGCCGUAACUGACGCUGAGGAGCGAAAGCAUGGGGAGCGAACAGGAUUAGAUACCCUGGUAGUCCAUGCCGUAAACGUUGGGAACUAGAUGUAGGGACCAUUCCACGGUUUCUGUGUCGCAGCUAACGCAUUAAGUUCCCCGCCUGGGGAGUACGGCCGCAAGGCUAAAACUCAAAGGAAUUGACGGGGGCCCGCACAAGCGGCGGAGCAUGCGGAUUAAUUCGAUGCAACGCGAAGAACCUUACCAAGGCUUGACAUGAACGAGAACGGGUCAGAAAUGAUCAACUCUUUGGACACUCGUUUACAGGUGGUGCAUGGUUGUCGUCAGCUCGUGUCGUGAGAUGUUGGGUUAAGUCCCGCAACGAGCGCAACCCUCGUUCUAUGUUGCCAGCACGUUAUGGUGGGAACUCAUAGGAGACUGCCGGGGUCAAYUCGGAGGAANGGWGGGGAUGACGUCAAAUCAUCAUGCCCCUUAUGUCUUGGGCUUCCGCAUGCUACAAUGGCCGGUACAAGGGCU
rnacentral:rRNA from 1 species